UACGUAGGGGGCAAGCGUUGUCCGGAAUUAUUGGGCGUAAAGCGCGCGCAGGCGGCUUGUUAAGUCCGGUGUUUAACUCCAAGGCUCAACCUUGGGUCGCACGGGAAACUGGGAGGCUGGAGUGCAGGAGAGGGAAGCGGAAUUCCACGUGUAGCGGUGAAAUGCGUAGAGAUGUGGAGGAACACCAGUGGCGAAGGCGGCUUCCUGGCCUGGUACUGACGCUGAGGCGCGAAAGCGUGGGGAGCAAACAGG
rnacentral:rRNA from 1 species